CAUCAAAUGUUCAGUUGCUUUUUUUCUACUACAGUAGGUAGAGAGAGUAGGCUAUGUGGACAGAUAGACUAACAAAUAUAUGUAAACAUGCUCACAUACAUCCCUAGAGGCAUACAAGAACACAGACCUACACACACCUCGGGCCUCCUGCCACGCUGAGGUAAGGUCUUCUGGUCGUUGCUCCAGUAUAAAAGCAGACAAACACACACACUCUGCCACUUCUCCUUUGAGCUGGGCGGUAGGAAAGAGUUGAGUUUUCUAAGCAGUGAAGUCAGUGUUCAGCUGCAGUUUGGUCAUGUCUGGAGUGUGGACUGUGCUGCUGCUCUUGGGAUGUGUCUUUCUCCCGCCUCUGUCGCAUGGAGCUCUGGUUAUCUCACAGGAUGCCUCCACACCACAGGGCUCUGAUGGUGCUACACGGCUACUAAAGAAAAGAAGUACAGAUAAUGCGGAGGUGGAGGUGUACAGUGUAAAGGUGGACUGUAAGGUUGCUUCUCGUUUUGCUCACACGGUCAUAACCUCCAGUGCUCUGAACAAGGCCAACUCCUCUCAGGAAAUGUUCUUCGAGGUGGAUCUGCCCAAAACCGCCUUCAUCACCAACUUCAGCAUGGAGAUAGAGGGUCAGACCUACACGGGCGAGGUGAAGGAGAAGGAGAAAGCCAAGAAGCAGUAUCAGAAAGCUGUUUCCACAGGGCAGACUGCAGGACUGGUCAAGGCAUCAGGGAGGAAGAUGGAGAAGUUCACUGUGUCUGUGAACAUCGCGGCCAAUAGUAACGUCACCUUCAUUUUGACCCAUGAGGAGUUGCUUCAGCGUAAACUGGGCCAAUACGAGAUCAUGACCCGAGUCAAACCCAAGCAGCUGGUCCAGUACUUUGAGAUUGUGGCAGAUAUCUAUGAACCCCAGGGCAUUGCUUUCCUGGAGGCCUAUGGAACCUUCAUCUCCAACGAGCUUCUCCCCCUGGUGGAGAAAACAGUCACCGACAAAAAGGCACACAUCUCAUUCUGCCCAACACUGGACCAGCAGAGGAAGUGCCCGGGUUGUGAAGGCACCCUGAUUGACGGGGAUUUCUUCAUCAAAUAUGACGUGAACCGAGCUGAGACCAUCGGUGACAUCCAGAUAGUGAAUGGGUACUUUGUGCACUUCUUUGCGCCUCCGCACUUACUCCGAGUUCCAAAAAAUGUGGUGUUUGUGAUCGAUAGGAGUGGGUCAAUGAGCGGAAUCAAAAUGAAGCAGACAAAGGAAGCUAUGCUGACCAUCCUGAAUGACCUGGCUGAGGACGACUACUUCGGCAUUGUCCUAUUUGACUCUAGCAUCUCAACAUGGAAGGAAUCUCUUACCAAGGCCACCAAGGAAAAUGUGUCUGAAGCCCAAAAAUUUAUCCAAAGAAUAACUGAUUUGGGAUCCACUAAUAUAAAUGAUGCUGUGAUGAAAGCUGUGGACAUGAUAAUGAAAGGCAUACGAGACAAGAAGGUCCCGGAGAGGAUUGUGUCUAUGGUUAUCUUAAUGACAGAUGGAAUGCCCAACUCAGGAGAGUCUUCUGUACCACAGAUUCAGGAGAAUGUCCUUCUUGCUAUGGGUGGGAACAUGUCUCUGUUCUGUCUGGGCUUUGGGGAUGACGUGGACUACUCCUUUCUGGAUGUGAUGUCUAGACAGAACCAGGGACUGGCCCGGAGGAUCUACGAGGGCUCUGAUGCCACCGUCCAGCUUCAGGGUUUCUAUGAGGAAGUAGCCAGCCCCCUCCUCUCCGAGGUGGACCUACGUUACCCUGACAACCUGGUGAACUCUCUGACCACCAGUCACUACAAGCAGCUGUUCAACGGCUCAGAGAUUGUGGUAGCUGGCCGGCUCACUGACUAUAGCCUGGAUAACUUCCUGGUGGAGGUGUUUGCACAGGGGUUUGAGGAGGACUUUAUUGUCAAAGGCCAGGCCAGUGCCCAGGAGUGGGACAUACUGUACCCUGAGCAGGAGUAUAUAUUUGGGGACUUCACUGAGCGUCUUUGGGCCUACCUCACCAUCCAAGAACUGUUAAGCAAGAGAGAGACUGGUACUGCGGAGGAGAAGGGGAAUGCCACUGCCCAGGCUCUGGAGAUGUCCCUGCAGUACAGCUUCGUCACCCCCCUUACCUCCAUGGUGGUCACCAAGCCUGAGACUGACGAGGGGCCAGAGGGCCCCCUCAUCGCCGACAAGCUGACCGAAGAUGAAAGGCAGAAAGCCCAGAGAUUUGGUAAUUAUGCAGGCCUGCUGAUGGGCAACGCCUGGACGCACAGCAGGAUCUCACCUACAAACUUUGUGGAUGGAGACCCUCAUUUCAUGAUUGAGUUGCCAGAGCAGGAGGAUGCUCUCUGCUUCAACAUAGACGACAAGCCUGGUACCAUCUUCAACCUAGUGAGAGACCAGCUGGCAGGUAUUUUGGUCAAUGGCCAGACCAUUGGGGAUAAGAAAGUGGCCCCUGAUGGCAAAGUGAACACCUACUUCGGUCGCUUUGGCAUCGUUCACCAGGGGCUGGGGGUGAGACUGGAGGUGACCACACAUGACAUCACUGUGUCCCAGGAUGGCAAGCAGGCCAAGCUCUUCUGGUCAGACACCACCUCUCUUAAGGGAGCUAAUAUGGACCUGCAGGUGACCAAAGACAGCAUCUUGACCGUCACCCUCAGGGACUCGGUCCGGUUUGUGGUCAUCCUACACAAGAUGUGGAAGCAGCACCCAUACCACCAGGACUAUCUGGGCUUCUAUACCCUGGACAGCCAUCUCCUCUCCCCCAGUGUCCACGGCCUUCUAGGUAGGACAGCCACCUCCUCUCCCCCAGCGUCCACGGCCUUCUAGGUAGGAGAGCCACCUCCUCUCCACCAUCGUCCACGUCCUUCUAGGUAGGACAGCCACCUCCUCUACCUCAUCGUCCACGGCCUGCUAGGUAGGACAGCCACCUCCUCUACCUCAUCGUCCAUGGCCUUCUAGGUAGGACAGCCACCUCCUCUACCUCAUCGUCCAUGGCCUUCUAGGUAGGACAGCCACCUCCUCUCCCUCAUCGUCCACGGCCUGCUAGGUAGGACAGCCACCUCCUCUACCUCAUCGUCCAUGGCCUUCUAGGUAGGACAGCCACCUCCUCUACCUCAUCGUCCAUGGCCUUCUAGGUAGGACAGCCACCUCCUCUACCUCAUCGUCCACGGCCUUCUAGGUACGACAGCCACCUCCUCUACCUCAUCGUCCAUGGCCUUCUAGAUAGGACAGCCACCUCCUCUCCCUCAUCGUCCACGGCCUUCUAGGUCAGUUUUACCAUGGCGUGCAGUUUGAGGUGAAAGACAUGCGUCCAGGAGAGGUGCCAGAGAAACCAGAUGCCACCAUGCUAGUGAAGG